GGGUUCCUCUGGGCUGUCCCAGGUGCUGGUGGCCGUCCCCGAGCUCUGCUGACCGCCGGCUGUCCUCUCUCCCCGCUCCACAGCUGGCAGCAGGGCAGGGCACGGCCCCCGCUCAGCCCCGGAGCCGAGGGCGAGCAUGGAGAAACCGGCACCAAACCCCGAGGCUGUGCCGAAGGCGGCUCCGCACUCGCCAAGGACUGGGAAAUGACCAGGCUGUGGGACAGCUCUUUGGGAUCGGGCAAACGGGACGCCAUGAGCCACGGGGGCCGCAAGGACGAGGCGCGGGCGCCGCAGGCAGACAGACCCAGGUGGGCUCAACCCCUUCCCUCUGGAUCCUGGGUGAGGACGGAGGCCCCGAGCUGUAGGAAAGAAAUCUGCCCGCUGAAAGCAGCCCGAGGUCCCGCCAGCCAGAAGCCUGAGGAGAGCCGGGCAAAACCCCGCACGGGGAGCUGCCGUUUCUCCCUGGAUCACCCCAAACCCGACCCUCCCCGGGCUCCUUCGCCAUCACCUCGCGGCCGCGGCUCCUCUCUGACCCCCGGCAGGUUCCUGGCAUCCUCCUCCCGUCCCGGGGAGCCCCACGGGCACCCCGGAGGCGCGGGCACGGAGGGGAGGCGCGGGUUGGAGCGGCAGGAGUACACGGUGCUGGCGGACCUGCCCAAACCCAAGCGCCUCGGCCGCGGGGACGCCGCCGAGCGCUGCGGCUCCCGCACCCUCAGCCCCGGCCGGGUGGAGGUGGAGAGGAUAUUCGGCUGCGAGCGCAGGCGCUGGAGGAGGGCCGCGUGGAGAGGCUGGAUGGGAAGACCCCGCUGCCACCCAGCAAAGGCCGCCUAGGUCGCAGGCAGUCCAGCCCCAGCCUGCCCAGGG
rnacentral:lncRNA from 1 species